ACAUGUCUUUAUGAUAUUAAUUUAAAGUCAAAUCUGCUCCAUGAUUAAAUAAUUAAAUAGCUGCAGUAUCCUGACUGUACAAAGGUAGCAUAAUCAAUAGUUUUUUAAUUGAAAGCUGGAAUGAAAGAUUUAAUAAGGUAGAUAUUGUCUCAAUUUUAGUAAUAUUAAAAUUUUUUUUUUAGUAAAAAAACUAAAUUGAAUUUAAAAGACGAGAAGACCCUAUAGAAUUUUAUAUUUUUUAUUUUAAUUAAUUUAAAUAAAAAUUUUGUUUAGAUGAAAAAAUAUUUGAUUGGGGCAAUUAUUAAAUUAAUUUAAUUUUAAUUAUAUUUAAACAAAAAUUAUUGAAUUUAUGAUCUUAAAUUUUUGAAUUGUAAGAAUAAAUUACCUUAGGGAUAACAGCGUAAUUUUUUUAGAGAGAUCAUAUUGAUAAAGAAGUUUGCGACCUCGAUGUUGAAUUAAGAUAAAAUUUUAAUGGAGAAGUUAAAAAUUUUUGGUCUGUUCGACCAUUAAAAUCUUACGUG
rnacentral:rRNA from 1 species